UGGCGCAGUUUUGAUUGGCUUGGUAUUUCCCGCGGGUUCUCUUCACUGCGAUAAUGUUCUUCUGUUUCUCUCCGAAAGUUUCUUCCCCAAAUCGUCGACAAAGUUGGAGAGUCGAUUAUCUUCCAAACGUGGCUGGACUAGCUCAUGGAUCCGCGCUUCUUUCCAGUAAGAACUCUGCAGUUGCUGCCAAACCCAAAAUGGUUCGCCUGCUGCACUCAAAAUGGCAAGUUUUAUAAAUAGAACAACUCCAGAUCUUUGUUACAGAUUCUAAUCAAAAGCAUAUCCAAAUUGUAACAUCUAUGGAGAGAAAGCAAGAACUUACAAGGUUUAUGGAGGAAGACAGAGCUGCAGAGGUCAUGUUUAUACUACGAUCUACUACUGGUAUGAAGCAAUCAAAGUUCCACCAUUUUUAUA